AUGUUUUGCAAUCUUUUGUAAUUCAGUCUGUUUACAUAUAAUUGUUCAUUGAAUCUCUUAAUAGAGGAAAUAAAGAAAUGAAUGAAAGAAAGGGCUCAUUUAUGAGAACAUAACUUUUCGAAAAUGAAAAUCAAAACGUUCCUUCUAUUACACAUAUAUAAUCUAUAAAUAAUAAUAGCGUAAUAAUCCUGAUUCACUUAGUUUUAGUUUGUUACCUGGAUUUUGAUCUUUUAAAUUGAUUUAUGGUAUUUGUACACCGGUAAACUGAUUGUAAAUUUUAAUUGUAAUGUAUCCAGUUAUUAACACUGACUAUCCUAGGUAGAGAAUACCACAUAUAUAUACCACAAUACAGUUGGUGUUUCAGAGAUCUACAUAAGCGAAACAUGUCGGACAAGUUACGACCAAGACAUGAAUUGGAACAGGCAUUCGAUAGUAUUGCCAAACAUUUUGAAUUUAAAGAUGCCCAUUUAGAGUUGAUGUCUGACGGAAGGCAAGCAGACUUACUUACUUUCAUCAAAGAGCAUUUCCAUCCUGAUGAACCCCUAAUAAAAAGUAUCGGUUAUACUGCUGACGAAGAAUAUGAUCAACUUGUCACAAUGGCACACAAAGAUAAUCUGUCUCUCUUGCUUGUAUCUGAUAAAACCAAUGAGAUUAUUGCAUGCAGAACCAUUAGUUUGGCACAUA